GAUGAACGCUGGCGGCGUGCCUAAUACAUGCAAGUCGAGCGAACGGACGAGAAGCUUGCUUCUCUGAUGUUAGCGGCGGACGGGUGAGUAACACGUGGAUAACCUACCUAUAAGACUGGGAUAACUUCGGGAAACCGGAGCUAAUACCGGAUAAUCUUUUGAACCGCAUGGUUCAAAAGUGAAAGACGGUCUUGCUGUCACUUAUAGAUGGAUCCGCGCUGCAUUAGCUAGUUGGUAAGGUAACGGCUUACCAAGGCAACGAUGCAUAGCCGACCUGAGAGGGUGAUCGGCCACACUGGAACUGAGACACGGUCCAGACUCCUACGGGAGGCAGCAGUAGGGAAUCUUCCGCAAUGGGCGAAAGCCGGACGGAGCAACGCCGCGUGAGUGAUGAAGGUCUUCGGAUCGUAAAACUCUGUUAUUAGGGAAGAACAUAUGUGUAAGUAACUGUGCACAUCUUGACGGUACCUAAUCAGAAAGCCACGGCUAACUACGUG
rnacentral:rRNA from 1 species